rnacentral:rRNA from 1 species
ACAUGCAAGUCGAACGGAAUCCAUGGUGUAGCAAUACACCGGAAGAUUUAGUGGCGAACGGGUGAGGAUCACGUGAGAAACGUGCCCCAGACUCUGGGAUAACAAUUGGAAACGAUUGCUAAUACCGGAUGACGUCGGAGAAUCGCAUGAUUCACUGACGAAAGAUAUUUCGGUUUGGGAGCGUCUCGCGGCCUAUCAGCUUGUUGGUGGGGUAAUGGCCUACCAAGGCAACGACGGGUAGCUGGUCUGAGAGGAUGAUCAGCCACACUGGGACUGAGACACGGCCCAGACUCCUACGGGAGGCAGCAGGGGGGAAUCUUGCGCAAUGGGCGAAAGCCUGACGCAGCAACGCCGCGUGCGGGAUGAAGGCCUUCGGGCUGUAAACCGCUUUCAGCAGGAACGAAAAUGACGGUACCUGCAGAAGAAGGAGCGGCCAACUACGUGCCAGCAGCCGCGGUGACACGUAGGCUCCAAGCGUUGUCCGGAUUUAUUGGGCGUAAAGAGCUCGUAGGCGGUUGAGUAAGUCGGGUGUGAAAACUCUGGGCUUAACCCGGAGACGCCAUCCGAUACUGCUCUGACUAGAGUUCAGGAGGGGAGUGGGGAAUUCCUAGUGUAGCGGUGAAAUGCGCAGAUAUUAGGAGGAACACCGGUGGCGAAGGCGCCACUCUGGACUGAAACUGACGCUGAGGAGCGAAAGCAUGGGUAGCAAACAGGAUUAGAUACCCUGGUAGUCCAUGCCGUAAACGGUGGGCACUAGGUGUGGGUUCCAACUAACGGGAUCCGCGCCGUCGCUAACGCAUUAAGUGCCCCGCCUGGGGAGUACGGUCGCAAGACUAAAACUCAAAGGAAUUGACGG